GGGGUUAUCGGAGAGCCAGAGGAGGGAGUCAGAGGAGUCAACGACGGCAAGGAAGAAUCAGAGGAAAAAAGGAAGAGGGAGAGAGAUUGCUAUCGAUGUUGAUGCCGUUACCCUUGCAGUCAUCGUUCCUCCUCCACUUUUCUUUGCGAUGGGCUCCUUCAAAACCCCACACUGCAGAACUUAGCUUGCACCUCCUUCUCCAUCUACGUCACCUCCACCGACGGCGACUUCACCGGCCAUGCUUUCUCUGCCACAGCCACUGCCACCACCACCCGAUAAAGACCCACGCCCUCAUCC
rnacentral:lncRNA from 1 species